CGUAGGGGGCAAGCGUUGUCCGGAUUUAUUGGGCGUAAAGAGCGUGUAGGCGGCUUCACAGGUCCGCUGUGAAAACUCGAGGCUCAACCUCGAGCUGUCGGUGGAAACCGUGUGGCUAGAGUCCGGAAGAGGAGAGUGGAAUUCCCGGUGUAGCGGUGAAAUGCGCAGAUAUCGGGAAGAACACCCGUGGCGAAGGCGGCUCUCUGGGACGGUACUGACGCUGAGACGCGAAAGCGUGGGGAGCGAACAGGAUUAGAUACCCUGGUAGUCCACGCCGUAAACGAUGGGUGCUAGGUGUGGGGGGUGUCGACUCCCUCCGUGCCGAAGCUAACGCAUUAAGCACCCCGCCUGGGGAGUACGGCCGCAAGGCUA
rnacentral:rRNA from 1 species